rnacentral:tRNA from 1 species
GCAUGGGUGGCUUACUUAGUUAAGCGUCUGACUUCAACUCAGGUUAUGAUCUCAGGGUUCAUGAGUUUGAGCCCCAUGUA